rnacentral:rRNA from 1 species
GGAGGAAGGUGGGGAUGACGUCAAGUCAUCAUGGCCCUUACGGCCUGGGCUACACACGUGCUACAAUGGUCGGUACAAAGGGUUGCCAAGCCGCGAGGUGGAGCUAAUCCCAUAAAACCGAUCGUAGUCCGGAUCGCAGUCUGCAACUCGACUGCGUGAAGUCGGAAUCGCUAGUAAUCGUGAAUCAGAAUGUCACGGUGAAUACGUUCCCGGGCCUUGUACACACCGCCCGU